CAACUGAACACAUAAACGCGAUGGAAAUCCGAUUGAGUCGUUGCAUCACUUUGCCAAAAUGAUGAACCAUAGAUUGCGAUUCCAACUCUAGCUCGCGGUUCGAUCAAGUUCAUCCACCUCAUUCCCUCUUCUUGACCAUUGUUGAUAAUUCAUUUGUGCAAGUCAUGUACGUGUUGAUAAAGAUGAUUCAGACGAUGAUAUACAAGUAAUGGAACGCGUCUCAUGAAGUGGAAAACAAAAAGUACAAGUAAUAUCCAGAAAAGAGUCAACAUCACAACAAAUGGGACAUACACUUGUAGCAUGGGAUCAAGCAUCUUUGGCGAAAGCAGAAAAGUAUAGCAGGGAUAAGAGUAAAGAUAAGAGUAGGGAUAAGAGUGUGGAGGCAUUUCAGAUGGCUGCUCUUGAAGAGAUAGAAGGCAUUCCAGAUGACAUAUAU